GAUGAACGCUGGCGGCGCGCUUAACACAUGCAAGUCGAGCGAAGCACUUAGGUUCGAUUCUUCGGAUGAAGACUUUUGUGACUGAGCGGGCGACGGGUGAAGGUACGCGUAGGGUAACCUGCCUCAUACAGGGGGAUAACAGUUAGAAAUGGCUGCUAAUACCGCAUAAGACCACGGUACUGCAUGGUACAGUGGUAAAAACUCCGGUGGUAUGAGAUGGACCCGCGUCUGAUUAGGUAGUUGGUGGGGUAACGGCCUACCAAGCCGACGAUCAGUAGCCGACCUGAGAGGGUGACCGGCCACAUUGGGACUGAGACACGGCUCAA
rnacentral:rRNA from 1 species